UUCUAAUGAGCUUGUUUAUCUGGUUUUCCAAGCCAUAUUAUGUGAGAGGCUACAAAUUAGAAGGAAAAGGAAAUGUGUUGGUGGCAGGAAUGCUGACAGCAGUGAGAAGUGACAGCCUGACAGUAAGGACGGAUAUGGAAAACUACAGAAAGGAGAAGCAAGCUUGCAAAAGUAUUCUUUCAAAGGGUAUGAUAUCCUACAAUUUGGCAUAACUAAGGCAGGAGAGACUGCCUCCUUUACAAAAGUCAAAAGGCAAUUUGGGGAUCCUCUAGAGGCUGCAGAAAAUGAAGGAAUCAUACUUUAUAGCCAUCCCUAGUGAAUGUUUGAGAAGACUUGUAUCAAAAGGCACACAAGAUGGGCAAGAAUGGAUGGCCUGUAUUCUACAUAAUCUGAGCAAACUCCUAAAUUUAUGAGAUCACAGGAAUUUUGCAAGCAGCUGGAAAAUUCUCCACAGGAGCUGACCAACACAAAGGGGAAACAAGAACUGAUAUUCUGAUGGAAUCCUAAGAGGAGAUAAAGUCAAAUUUUCAUUCCCAUAGCCUAAUUUCCCUAUUUUCCAUACACUUUCCUAAAAUAAUUGCCAUUGAACAGUCUAGUUCAGUAUUCUGCAAACUUUUUAAUAGUAUUUUAUUUUUCCAAAUACAUGUAAAGAUGGUUUUCAACAUUAGUUUCAACCCAAAACAAAGAGAAAUGACACAUUUCCUACCUGUGUGACCCAAGCAAUUGCCUCACCAAAAAAAAAAAAAAAAAAAAAAAAGCACAAAGAAUAAUGACCCAGAUUCUGAUAUUACCUAAAUAAUUCAAAUAGUACAUAUACAGUGAAUGAGUAAAAUUGCCUUCCAAACAUGAAAAACAUGCAUGAAUGUUGAACAUUAUCUUUGUAUGUUUUUUGAAAAACAAAAAGCUAUUACUAUUUUUAAAAGUUGGUAUAGUGGAUAGAGCAUCAGUUCUGAAAUCAGGAGGAUAUGAGUUCAAAUUAUCCCCUCCUUUAUCCUCUCCUCUAGAUGGCAGAUAGUCCAAUACACAUUUAUUUUUGUAAAACUUUGUGUUCCAAAUGUUUCUCCCUGCCUCCUUUACCUUCACCUUUCCAAGACAGCAAGCAAUCUGAUAGAGGUUAAAUAUGUGUAAUUCUUUUAUCCAUAUUUUCAUAUUUGUCCUGUUGUGCAAGAAAAAUUAGAUCAAAAGGGAAAGAGUUGUAGGAGAAAAAAAAAUCACCACCAAAAAAAAAAUUGCUGAAAAUAAUAUGUUUUGAUUUGCAUUCAGUCUCCAUAGUUCUUUCUCUGGAUGUGGAUGGCAUUUUCUAACCUAAUUAUUUUGGAAUUGUUUUGAAUCACUACAUUGUUGAAAAGAACUCAGUUUACCACAGCUGAUGAUCAUAUAAUUUUGUUGUUACUGUGUACAAUGAUCUCUUCUUUCUGCUCAUUUCACUCAGCAUCAAUUCAUGUAAGUUUCUCCAGGCCUCUCUGAAAUCCUUUUGUUUCUUACUGAACAAUAAUAUUCCAUAACAUUCAUAUACCACAACUUAUUCAGCCAUUCUCCAAUUGAUGGGCACCUACUCAAUUUCCAGUUCCUAACCACUACCAAAAGGGCUGCCACAAACAUUUUCGCACAAACGGGUCCCUUUCCCUCCUUUAAGAUCUCUUUGGGACAUAGACUCAAUAAAAAAACUGCUGGAUCAAAGGGUAUGCAGUUUGAAAGCCCUUUGGGCAUAGUUCCAUAUUGCCCUCCAGAAUGGUUGGAUCAGUUCACAACUGCACCAACAAUGUAAUUUUCCCCUAUCCAGAAGGGCUUUUCUAAUCGCACCUAAGUAGGUUCUGGGCAAUAGUUGGGCAAUACCUGCCCUCAGGGUCAAAUGCCUAGCUCAGGAGAAGCACAGUGCAGGGAGGAGCUGGAAUGAGGAACUAUAAGAAGAACAAACAUUGGUAUGGUGAUGUUGGAGAUAAAUCCCACAGCCCACUCUCUCAGGAAGGAUGGAACAUGAUUCCUGUUCCCUUUUUCCAUCUGAUUGACCAUAGAACACCUUGGGGCCUAGCCAUAACUAUUCUUUGUCUCAAUUUUGGUCCAAUGUUAAAACUAUCUAUAGAAACAAUCAGCUUUAGAGUCUAUCAAUUCCUGGUUGUCCAAUGUAUUUUAACAUGGAGAUUAAAGCAAAAUAAUAGAGGAAAAUAAAUGGGAAUGAAAAUGAAAAGACCAAAGUUCUGGCCAUGGUCUUAAUUCAGAUAUUUCCUAGUUGUGGUGCCGUGGUCAUGUAACUGAACCAUUCUGGGACUGGUUAUCUGUAAAAUAAGGUUAUCACCUAUAAUUUAUUUAUCUAUCCCAGAGGACUAUUAUGGGGAAAGAGCUCUGUUUCUGUUAAAGGCCUUUUUUGGUUCUUCUCAGGGAUGGGAGGAAGGAAAGGCUGGGGAAAAAAUAUACAUACAUACAAGUAUAUAUAUACAUAUAGAUACACAUCUAUCCAUUCAUAGAGAAAUAGAUAUAUCUUAUAUAUAGAAGUCUCUCCAGAUUAGCUAAUUGAUAACACAUUGUUUCCCCCAAUAAAUUCCUUGAGGUCAGGGAGAAUGUUUUUGCUUUUUUUUGUAUCUCUAGUCAUCUGCCAUAGUGUCUGGCACACAGUAGGCUCCUACUAAAUACUUAAUAAAUGACCACUAUGGUAAUGUUUUACAUUAUUGGACAUAAGCUUAUUAUCUCAUGGAAGGAAAGGUGACUUGAGAAAGGGAGAAAAUCUGGAACUCCAAAAAUAUUUUUUAAAAUAAAUGUUAAGAACUGUCUUUACAUGGGAUUAAAAAAAUAAAUAUUUGUUGACUUAUGUCUGUAAAGUUAUGUGACUAUGUGUAUAUGCAGAUGUUACAUUAAAUUUUGAUAUAUAUGAAA